UGAGAAGGUGUGGCUACCCCAGGAAGGUCAGGUGCAUGCAAUAUACCUGCAUGACCGGAAGGGAUGGAGCCUGGAUCCACCCUCCUCAACCUCAUUAGCAGUUAGCAGCCAAGGGUGUAAUAUUUUUCUGCAUAGCAAUUGCACUCCUUGUGAGCAGGGGUUAUUGGGAGAGGUAGCAUGAAAUGGAGCCAGGAUGACAGGGCCCCAUCUGAGCCAUGCCCAGCUCCCCCAGUCUGCACAAACCCACUCUAUCAAUCACGAGCAUCACUAACACAGUGAAAUGCAAGGUGAGAACACAGGCUGGAUUUUCAACAGAAAAUUUUCAUUAGGUGCAGAUUUGUUCAGCUGCUUUGUGAUUUACCACCAGCACAGCAUAUCCUCAGACCCUACCGUGCAGCAUCUUUAAUCCUACAGCAGUAAGUUGCAAACUUUUCUGGUAUGGAGAUUAUUUGCCAGCAGCAAAGAGACUUUCUCCUUCCAUUUCCAAUCCCUUUUGUAAAACGUUUCACUCAUCAAACCACUGUACGGAGCAGGAGGAAGGACGGGGCUGCUGCAAACAAUAGCUAAAGUACACACACUGCUACAGUUGCGACACACGCAUUUUGAAUGUAGUUCAGGCACAAAAUAAAACAUAUUUGAAAGGUGUAAGAAACCCUUAAACAAAAUAUACAACUCAGCUGCUAGUAAAAAAAGUAAAUAAAAUAAUAAGCAUAUAUAAAAGCCAAACAAAACUUUCCUGCAGCAUAUGUAUCUGUAUCCUUUUAUAAAGGCAGAUGGUGGGGUAUCUAUAACACUGCACACAAUGCUCCAGCACAACUUUUCUACUGAUAUUUCUAGGGAAAGCAAAGCAAACGGAUUCAGCAAGAAAGCAGUAGAUUAUUAGAUUAUUAUUAUUUCUAACUGCAAUUUUGCAAACCAUUUCCUA